GGUUAAGCGACUAAGCGUACACGGUGGAUGCCCUGGCAGUCAGAGGCGAUGAAGGACGUGCUAAUCUGCGAUAAGCGUCGGUAAGGUGAUAUGAACCGUUAUAACCGGCGAUUUCCGAAUGGGGAAACCCAGUGUGUUUCGACACACUAUCAUUAACUGAAUCCAUAGGUUAAUGAGGCGAACCGGGGGAACUGAAACAUCUAAGUACCCCGAGGAAAAGAAAUCAACCGAGAUUCCCCCAGUAGCGGCGAGCGAACGGGGAGCAGCCCAGAGCCUGAAUCAGUAUGUGUGUUAGUGGAAGCGUCUGGAAAGGCGCGCGAUACAGGGUGACAGCCCCGUACACAAAAAUGCACAUAUUGUGAGCUCGAUGAGUAGGGCGGGACACGUGGUAUCCUGUCUGAAUAUGGGGGGACCAUCCUCCAAGGCUAAAUACUCCUGACUGACCGAUAGUGAACCAGUACCGUGAGGGAAAGGCGAAAAGAACCCCGGCGAGGGGAGUGAAAAAGAACCUGAAACCGUGUACGUACAAGCAGUGGGAGCACGCUUAGGCGUGUGACUGCGUACCUUUUGUAUAAUGGGUCAGCGACUUAUAUUCUGUAGCAAGGUUAACCGAAUAGGGGAGCCGAAGGGAAACCGAGUCUUAACUGGGCGUUAAGUUGCAGGGUAUAGACCCGAAACCCGGUGAUCUAGCCAUGGGCAGGUUGAAGGUUGGGUAACACUAACUGGAGGACCGAACCGACUAAUGUUGAAAAAUUAGCGGAUGACUUGUGGCUGGGGGUGAAAGGCCAAUCAAACCGGGAGAUAGCUGGUUCUCCCCGAAAGCUAUUUAGGUAGCGCCUCGUGAAUUCAUCUCCGGGGGUAGAGCACUGUUUCGGCAAGGGGGUCAUCCCGACUUACCAACCCGAUGCAAACUGCGAAUACCGGAGAAUGUUAUCACGGGAGACACACGGCGGGUGCUAACGUCCGUCGUGAAGAGGGAAACAACCCAGACCGCCAGCUAAGGUCCCAAAGUCAUGGUUAAGUGGGAAACGAUGUGGGAAGGCCCAGACAGCCAGGAUGUUGGCUUAGAAGCAGCCAUCAUUUAAAGAAAGCGUAAUAGCUCACUGGUCGAGUCGGCCUGCGCGGAAGAUGUAACGGGGCUAAACCAUGCACCGAAGCUGCGGCAGCGACGCUUAUGCGUUGUUGGGUAGGGGAGCGUUCUGUAAGCCUGCGAAGGUGUGCUGUGAGGCAUGCUGGAGGUAUCAGAAGUGCGAAUGCUGACAUAAGUAACGAUAAAGCGGGUGAAAAGCCCGCUCGCCGGAAGACCAAGGGUUCCUGUCCAACGUUAAUCGGGGCAGGGUGAGUCGACCCCUAAGGCGAGGCCGAAAGGCGUAGUCGAUGGGAAACAGGUUAAUAUUCCUGUACUUGGUGUUACUGCGAAGGGGGGACGGAGAAGGCUAUGUUGGCCGGGCGACGGUUGUCCCGGUUUAAGCGUGUAGGCUGGUUUUCCAGGCAAAUCCGGAAAAUCAAGGCUGAGGCGUGAUGACGAGGCACUACGGUGCUGAAGCAACAAAUGCCCUGCUUCCAGGAAAAGCCUCUAAGCAUCAGGUAACAUCAAAUCGUACCCCAAACCGACACAGGUGGUCAGGUAGAGAAUACCAAGGCGCUUGAGAGAACUCGGGUGAAGGAACUAGGCAAAAUGGUGCCGUAACUUCGGGAGAAGGCACGCUGAUAUGUAGGUGAAGCGACUUGCUCGUGGAGCUGAAAUCAGUCGAAGAUACCAGCUGGCUGCAACUGUUUAUUAAAAACACAGCACUGUGCAAACACGAAAGUGGACGUAUACGGUGUGACGCCUGCCCGGUGCCGGAAGGUUAAUUGAUGGGGUCAGCGCAAGCGAAGCUCUUGAUCGAAGCCCCGGUAAACGGCGGCCGUAACUAUAACGGUCCUAAGGUAGCGAAAUUCCUUGUCGGGUAAGUUCCGACCUGCACGAAUGGCGUAAUGAUGGCCAGGCUGUCUCCACCCGAGACUCAGUGAAAUUGAACUCGCUGUGAAGAUGCAGUGUACCCGCGGCAAGACGGAAAGACCCCGUGAACCUUUACUAUAGCUUGACACUGAACAUUGAGCCUUGAUGUGUAGGAUAGGUGGGAGGCUUUGAAGUGUGGACGCCAGUCUGCAUGGAGCCGACCUUGAAAUACCACCCUUUAAUGUUUGAUGUUCUAACGUGGACCCGUGAUCCGGGUUGCGGACAGUGUCUGGUGGGUAGUUUGACUGGGGCGGUCUCCUCCUAAAGAGUAACGGAGGAGCACGAAGGUUGGCUAAUCCUGGUCGGACAUCAGGAGGUUAGUGCAAUGGCAUAAGCCAGCUUGACUGCGAGCGUGACGGCGCGAGCAGGUGCGAAAGCAGGUCAUAGUGAUCCGGUGGUUCUGAAUGGAAGGGCCAUCGCUCAACGGAUAAAAGGUACUCCGGGGAUAACAGGCUGAUACCGCCCAAGAGUUCAUAUCGACGGCGGUGUUUGGCACCUCGAUGUCGGCUCAUCACAUCCUGGGGCUGAAGUAGGUCCCAAGGGUAUGGCUGUUCGCCAUUUAAAGUGGUACGCGAGCUGGGUUUAGAACGUCGUGAGACAGUUCGGUCCCUAUCUGCCGUGGGCGCUGGAGAACUGAGGGGGGCUGCUCCUAGUACGAGAGGACCGGAGUGGACGCAUCACUGGUGUUCGGGUUGUCAUGCCAAUGGCACUGCCCGGUAGCUAAAUGCGGAAGAGAUAAGUGCUGAAAGCAUCUAAGCACGAAACUUGCCCCGAGAUGAGUUCUCCCUGACUCCUUGAGAGUCCUGAAGGAACGUUGAAGACGACGACGUUGAUAGGCCGGGUGUGUAAGCGCAGCGAUGCGUUGAGCUAACCGGUACUAAUGAACCGUGAGGCUUAACCUU
rnacentral:rRNA from 1 species